GACGUAGGGGGCGAGCGUUGUCCGGAAUCACUGGGCGUAAAGAGCUCGUAGGCGGGGUUGCACGUCUUGGAGUAAAUCCAUCUGCUUAACGGAUGGGUCGUCUGAGAUACGGCAGCUCUUGAGGACAGAAGAGGAAAGCAGAAUUCCGGGUGUAGCGGUGAAAUGCGUAGAUAUCAGGAGGAACACCGGUGGCGAAGGCGGGUCUCUGGGAAUGUGCUGACGCUGAGGAGCGAAAGUGUGGGGAGCGAACAGG
rnacentral:rRNA from 1 species